CGACGGAUGGAAGGAAAGGAGGGAAAAAAAGCGGAGAGGGAGACAGAAAUAAGGAAAGAGAGGCUGAGAAAAGGAAAUGUACAGAGGAAGGAAAUGAGCAGGAAAGACAAGGGAGAAAGGGAGAAAAGAGAUCAAGGCAGGAAGGGGAGCAAGCCCCAGGGAGCACUCAGCCCCUCCAGCCUGUCCCAACUCCAGCCCCCCCUCCACUUCCUUCUGGCCUGGCAACCCACAGGCCAUGCUGGGGAGUGGGCACCAGGCAGCAGCAGAGCCGAGGCAGGAGAGUUGAAUGUCUUCAUGAUGUGUUUAUCCCCUAAUCAGUUCAUUAGUUAUAAACAACAUGACAUUAGAAGUUAGGAGGCAGUUGAUAUUAAUUUUUAUUUAACUAGUUGAUGUUUAAUCCGUCACGCCAGGCUGGGUAGCAGCGAGAAAGAUCUUCCUGACACAAAACCAGUUAGAACUUCAUAAGGCUCAAUCAGUGUCCAGGCGUUGAAACAAACAAGAGAGACAGAGACAGAGAGAAACGGAGAGACUGAGAGACAGUGGCAGCCCCACCAGAGACGGAGACCGCAUGGAGGGCCGGGAGAGAGCUAACCCAGGGCCAGAGCUGGGGAAAAUAAGCUAGAAAGGCAGAGAGCACAGACAGCUGGCAAGGGGCUGACAGCCUUGAACCCAGGCUCCAAGCCCAGGGCAGCCCCAACUACUAAGUGAGGGAGCAGGAGACCCACUCCUGGGAAAGUCCGGCCAGGACAGUGGCGUGGUUGGUGGGCCAGGGCCCCGCCAAGGCUGGCCGCUGCAACUACUAGAGCCUUCCGGCAAGGAAUGUGUUUGGUGUCCUGCGGUCUGGUGGGUGGCAAGCGUCUAAUGUCACAGCAAGGCGAGGCUCUGACUUUCGGAAACUUUCCUCUCCCAGGUAUGGAGGCCAAUAACCUCUCCCCUCCCUGCUCCAGGAAGAGCCGGCCCAGUCAAGAGAGGAGAGAAAAAGGCGAGGAGUUUGCACCCGGCGGUUCAAGUUUGACAAAGUUUGCUGCGGUCACAGCCAGAGAGGGGUGUGUGGUGCCUGUGAGCGCUCGGCUUUUUCCACCUUCACUCCGGGCACCGGCGGGCACUGGCUUGGUCACGGCUUCCUGCGCAGGCAUGGGAGCGGGGGCGGGCUGUAGUUUUCCGCCGCCGAGAAGGACACUGUUUGGGGUGACAGAGUCAUCUUCGCCCGCGCGUAGACUCAAGCCGAGCCUCUCAUCGUUUGCAUGUUAAUCUGAGUCCACCUCGAAAAGGAAAUCGCUGAAAUUCCGAAGAAAAUUGCCUCUCGCCGGCGGUUAAUAGUUAACUCAGACAGGAAAGUUCCCAGGGAAAGGCGAAAGCCAGGGCGAGAGGUGCAGGGGAGGCGCCCCGGGAGGGCCUCGGCCAGCCCCGGUCUCUCCCCUCGCCGCCAGCGCUCGGCCCCGCGCCCCUACCAUCCCCGGGCGGCGCACCCCCCACCCCGUAAUUAACAUCGUUUAGUUCACAAAACGCUUCCUGGGAGAAAUCUGUUCCCUUGUUCCGGGGCUCGGUUCAGCACCUGAUUCCACCGGCCGAGGCGAAUAAAUCACUGCGGCGGCGGGGGAGCCGGACCCAAGUCCUCCAGACUGUGGCCGCCGGGAGAACGAAAAAGUGAGAAAGAGGCGGCGGAGCCCGGAAAAACGAUGCAAGAAGACGGCGCACCCUAGCCCAGGAAGAGUGAGGGGCCGGGGAAAGGGAGAGCCAGAGAAAGAGAGGGACCCAAAGACAGAGAAGGGGCCAAAAUGGAAGAGGAAGAUACAGAAAGAGACAGAAGAGAGCCAGAAGGAGAGUGACAAGAAAAAGCGAACGAAAAGAAAGGGAAAAUGAGGAAGGGAAAGAAGUUAAAGAAACAAGAGCGAAGAGGGAGAUUAAGAAGGAAGUGACAGGCAAAUAAAGAAAAUAAAAGCAAACCAGAAGAGCAAA